rnacentral:misc_RNA from 1 species
AGGUCGGUGCUGGAAUUUGAUGCUGAUGGAUUCUUUGAUAUUUCAUUUCUGUUUGAGUGGAAUGAUUUUUUCUUCAUUUUAUACAUUGAACUUGCCCCAUCUUUUCCCCAAGAGGCUCCCGUGCUGACCUUUCAGUCUAUUUAUCACGAAUCAAAGGAGAAGCCGUACUCCGAGGUACACGAUAAAUACCCCUACAGCCCACGGUGGAGCGGACCAGAGAUGGCCACCAGAAUCAAGACCUACAUUCUGGACAAUAUCCAAGCCUUUCAAAAGCAGUCAGUGAUAAGUGGAUCCCUCUAACAGUGGCUGAGACCAAAUAUACAGGAUAACUGGCCAAAUAUGCAAGAUCAUAGCAGAAUCUUUCAACAGUUUGUGGCAAUAUUAAAGCAGUGCCAGAGUCCAAAUUGACAUAGAUUGUUCAAAUUUUAGUUACGUUAUUAUAUUAUGUUUAUAUAUGUGAAUAAAACAUUUCAGUUU